rnacentral:rRNA from 1 species
CAAAAACAUCGCCUUUUGAACCUUAUAAAAGGUAACGCCUGCCCAGUGACUGCUCGUUAAACGGCCGCGGUACUCUGACCGUGCAAAGGUAGCGUAAUCACUUGUCUUUUAAAUAAAGACUAGUAUGAAUGGCAUCACGAGGACUAAUCUGUCUCCCUCCCCCAAUCAGUGAAACUGAUCCCCCCGUGCAGAAGCGGGGAUGACAUCAUAAGACGAGAAGACCCUGUGGAGCUUCAAAUCAAAAAUCAACUACUAUACCCUACCUCCUGAGGACAUACUUCCGUAGACUUGACUUAGAUUUUUAGCUGGGGCGGCUGUGGAAGAAAAAACAUCCUCCACGAAAUUCUACUCAAAGGGCUACCGCCCUAAGUAAUAAUAAAUUAAUUUAAUUGACCCAAUUUUUGAUCAACGAACCAAGUUACCCCAGGGAUAACAGCGCAAUCCACUUUUAGAGUCCUUAUCGACAAGUGGGCUUACGACCUCGAUGUUGGAUCAGGGCACCCAAGUGGUGCAGCCGCUACUAAAGGUUCGUUUGUUCAACGAUUAAAGCCCUACGUGAUCUGA